CACCUACGGGACGCAGCAGUAGGGAAUCUUCGGCAAUGGGGGCAACCCUGACCGAGCAACGCCGCGUGAGUGAAGAAGGUUUUCGGAUCGUAAAGCUCUGUUGUAAGAGAAGAACGUGUGAGAGAGUGGAAAGUUCACACAGUGACGGUAACUUACCAGAAAGGGACGGCUAACUACGUGCCAGCAGCCGCGGUAAUACGUAGGUCCCGAGCGUUAUCCGGAUUUAUUGGGCGUAAAGCGAGCGCAGGCGGGUGGGUAAAGCUGGA
rnacentral:rRNA from 1 species